rnacentral:rRNA from 1 species
ACUCCUACGGGAGGCAGCAGUGGGGAAUAUUGCACAAUGGGGGGAAACCCCUGAUGCAGCCAUGCCGCGUGUGUGAAGAAGGCCUUCGGGUUGUAAAGCACUUUCAGCGAGGAGGAAGGGUGUAAGUUAAUACCUUACAUCUGUGACGUUACUCGCAGAAGAAGCACCGGCUAACUCCGUGCCAGCAGCCGCGGUAAUACGGAGGGUGCGAGCGUUAAUCGGAAUUACUGGGCGUAAAGCGUGCGCAGGCGGUUUGUUAAGCGAGAUGUGAAAGCCCCGGGCUCAACCUGGGAACCGCAUUUCGAACUGGCAAACUAGAGUCUUGUAGAGGGGGGGUAGAAUUCCA